rnacentral:rRNA from 1 species
UGGGGAAUAUUGCACAAUGGGCGCAAGCCUGAUGCAGCCAUGCCGCGUGUAUGAAGAAGGCCUUCGGGUUGUAAAGUACUUUCAGUCGGGAGGAAGGUGGUAAGGUUAAUAACCUUGGCAAUUGACGUUACCGACAGAAGAAGCACCGGCUAACUCCGUGCCAGCAGCCGCGGUAAUACGGAGGGUGCAAGCGUUAAUCGGAAUUACUGGGCGUAAAGCGCACGCAGGCGGUUGAUUGAGUCAGAUGUGAAAUCCCCGGGCUUAACCCGGGAAUUGCAUCUGAUACUGGUCAGCUAGAGUCUUGUAGAGGGGGGUAGAAUUCCAUGUGUAGCGGUGAAAUGCGUAGAGAUGUGGAGGAAUACCGGUGGCGAAGGCGGCCCCCUGGACAAAGACUGACGCUCAGGUGCGAAAGCGUGGAGCAAACAGG